GCUCUUGGGUUGUAAACCCCUUUUCUCUGGGAAGAAAGUUGUGAAAGCAACCUGACGGUACCAGAGGAAUCAGCAUCGGCUAACUCCGUGCCAGCAGCCGCGGUAAGACGGAGGAUGCAAGCGUUAUCCGGAAUGAUUGGGCGUAAAGCGUCCGCAGGUGGCAGUUCAAGUCUGCUGUCAAAGACCGGGGCUUAACUUCGGAAAGGCAGUGGAAACUGAACAGCUAGAGUAUGGUAGGGGCAGAGGGAAUUCCUGGUGUAGCGGUGAAAUGCGUAGAGAUCAGGAAGAACAUCGGUGGCGAAGGCGCUCUGCUGGACCAUAACUGACACUCAGGGACGAAAGCUAGGGGAGCGAAUGGGAUUAGAUAC
rnacentral:rRNA from 1 species